UUGGGGCCGUUGCGACGUACAGUAGCUAGCUAGUAACGUCAGCAUGGGCGCUAAGCUAACUCUAGCUAUAUCAAGCUUUUAUCUUUAUCGCCCCUCUUCACUUUGCAGCCUCUCUUUGGUCGCUAUAUUCUUCUGAUGCUUGUUAUUUGGAUGGCUCUCUACUUCCCUGUCUUGUUGUGUCAAACCCUGCCUAUGCAACCAAUGAACUCCCUGGUUGAAACAACGCAAUAAAGCAGGUUCUCAGUGGCAUGUGAACCAUUCUAUUGCGUUGUAUUUCUAUGUUCGAGACCAUUAAUCGAGACCGUCAACAUUGCAGCGGUAUGACGAAGCACUCAAGGAGAAGAACCUAGUCUCUAACAAUAUUAGUUGAAAACCCAGUUGAGGCCAUUAUAUAUAAUAUAGUUAUAAUUGCGCGAUUAUGUAGUAAAGUGUUAUCAUAUUAAUACUGGAUGUGUAGGUAGAUUAACAAAUGGUAGACUCUGGGGACCGUUCAGCAGGACGCAAUGUUUUGGAGCAUUCAGAUGAAACGCGUCAAGUUCUUUGGUGCGCACACAUCAUUGACAACCUGAAACUGUACUUCCAUAAACAGUGUGGUGAAGGCGCAACAGUGCCUCGAAAUUCGUCUUGGCCCUCACAAACUUCUACAGAUGCACCAUUGAGAGCAUCAUGUGCCUGCCCUCUGCCUGCCCUCCAGGACAUCUACACUACCUGGUCGGCGCCUGUUCACUCUGCUACCAUCUACAGGGAGCUCCAAAAGUAUUGGGACAGUGACACAUUUUGUGUCACUGUCCCACUAUGAAGUCCAAGGAUUGUUUUUCUUCUGGGCCCCAGUGUUCAAAUCGAUGCAUCUUCAUCUCUAUAGGGUCUGGUCGGGGCUGGUCUGACAGAAAUGAGUCAACCAGCAGAGAAACGGAGCCUUUCCCUGUCUGGUGUACUGACAGCCACAUAUUCUUCAGUGAGUAACAGGUCUGACCUGGUCCAGAUACUCUUUGGUCAUCAUUCCAAAGGACUGGAACUUCUUUGUCAACUUAUUUGUGGGUAGUGCUGGAAUAUCCCAGUUCUACAGGAUUUUCUAGUAUGAGCACUAGCAAAGGAGGCUGCCCCUGCAGAGUCUUGAGUGUUGAGUUUCACCAAUGUAAUCCAACUCCCGGGACCGAAAGGGAGCCUCAUUACCGGCAGAAACCCAGCUCCUCCAUUCCGCUUCCACCCUUGCUCCAUUUUACAGUAAAAAAAAAAGAAUGUUUCCUUGCUGGAGAUCAUUUACUUUGCCUGGAUUUCUUCAGGUUUAUAAUGGCAUAUUAACCCUUACCAAAACACACUCAAAUGGUGUCAUCUGCGCACAAUGUUUUAUUUUUACUUCAUGAAACAAGUUGUUUAAUUGUUUAUUCUUAAAUUAAUAUUUAUCAUGCAUUUUUUUGGAAGUGUUGCUUUUUUCCCCCCCAAUUUUUUUUGUCAUCAUACCUCAUGGUGUGGUUUCCUAAGGAUGAUCUUAAAUCUGUGUUUGAAUGUCUUCAAUAUUUAUUAAAUCAAUGUUGGUAAUUAUUUCUAUAGUCGUACCUGAAGGAUGAUUAAACCAUACAUUCAUGCCAUGUGGCUGACUGUUCCUUCCACGUGUUGUAACUGCUUUAACCAAUCAGGUAAACAUUUCACAUAGUAGCUUUUAACUGUAGAUCUAGUGUAAUUGGCACCCUGUCUAUUGCUAAUAGAAACAUGAAAUCACCAGCUUUCUUUCCCUGAUCAUUGGGUAAUGUUUGGUGUCACGGUCAAUGGGGCUGAAUCUAGUACCUGGAGUCAAUAAGGAAAACUUUAGGGAUACAAUGCAUAUAAAAAGUCUACGUCCCCCUAGGAUUUCUUCACAUUUUGUGUUACAAAAUAGGAUUCAAAUGGAUUGAAUUGUCAUUUUUUGACAAUGAUCAACACAAUCUAAUGUCACAGUGGAAGAAAAAUUCAUGCAAUUAAAGAUUAAUUCAAAAUAAAACAUACCUUGAUUAGAUAAGUAUUUUUCCCUGAGUCAAUACACGUUAUAAUCACCUUUGGCAGCAAUUACAGCGGAGUCUUCUUGGGUAAGUCUCUUAAGACCUUUGC